UUAGGGACAGCUUGGCCAAAAAGGCAACAUUCUAUCUUCUCUUGGAUUCCUGUGCGGCUGCGGAUACUUCAGAAACAGAUGUUGAACACUGCUUAACUUCUGCCCUUCCCCCCUAGAAAAACAGAAGGUUCUCUAGUUUCACAUUAGCUGAUUUCCCAUUAUGUAGACUGUCUGAGCCAUCUUCAUUCAAUUUAUUGCUACAUUAGUCCCAAACCUGGCAGUGGAAAAUACAUUAACUUUUAAUAACACACCUUUGAUGACUUGUAGAAAUAGGUUUCUGCCAGCUCCUUCUUCCAUUUAUCCUUGUGGAUCGGGGAGCAGUGGGGAAAAUGGCAAAUUAAACCUAAUGUCAUUCUACAGCUGAGGGAAAGAAAGGAAUUUUGAGUUCAUGGGACAACUUAAAAAAUAUAACUAGUGCUUAAUCAUCUGCUGGAAGCAUAUGGUAAUAAGAAGUAACUUGUGGUGGGGUGCGGUGGCUCACGCCUGUAAUCCCAGCACUUUGGGAGGUACUGCACAUACAUUUACUCAAAAUCCUGACAAAGGCACAACUAGCAACAGGGUAAAAAGAACGUUACUUAGGAAAUCUCUGGAGCUACAUUUCCUGAUCACAGCCCUGCUUUCCAAGGUGGGAAGCAAUUUAGGUUUUAUGUAUUGCUAUAAUAGACCCGAAAUUAAUUCAGCAUCUAAUCACAACAAAAGCCUUGAGAAUCAAUCCAAUUUUAGUCAACAUCAUUAUCAUCACCAUCAACAAAUGUUUCCUGAGCAUCUAGGACACUAGAUGCUGGGAAUACAAAGAAGCCAGAACUACUCUUUCUGCUCUGAGGGGGAUUCAGCAGAGAGAAAAGGAACAACGCAUAUUAGAAUUCACUGAAAAGGUAUUAUAAAAGAUGGCUGACUAGAGGCAUCUGGUACUUGCCUUCUCCACAAAUAAGAAUCAAAACAGCAAGUAGAUAAUCACACACCAAAUAGAUCGUCUGAGAACACUGGAAUUCAACAGUGUACUCCAAGGACAAUUCACCUGCCUGUAGGACUGCCACAACCAGGGCACUAGCAAAGUGCAUGCUCCCCAGCAGUCUCCAUAUGGCUGCUGCUGCUGCUGAAAGGAACCCCGCCCCUCCCCAGUAGCAGGGCUGCAGCGAAGCCACUGACUCCCCCACCAGAGAAUUCCACCUUGGGCCUGAGGAUCACACUGUCCCUGCCUACCACAGUUUGUACACACCAUCAGGGGCCCUUAAGACAGUUUUCCCUGGCCCAACAAUGUCUUCUCAGUGAUCACGCACUCUGUCCAUGGGCCUGGUGACGACCCAGCCCAAUUCAACACUGUUGGCACCUGAACACCCCUCCCACGGGCCUGAGGUCAGGUCCACUCAAACUGCCAUGACCAUCACAGUGGGCACCCACAAGCACAUGCUACCUGCAGACCUGGGGACAAGCCCACUCAGCCCAUUGCAGCCACUGCCAAAACUAGCAUGAACCGCUUGGGACCCAGAGGUUACUCCCACCACUGUUACUGCCAUUGCCCAUGUCACACUGGCUGCCCAGGGCCUAAGGACCCACCCACCCACUUAGCCCACCACUGCCACUACUGGCACCCAAGCAAGCCACUUGGAGACGUAUGAAUCAACCCACCUGGACCUGCUAACACCUGUGCUAGCAUACGCUGCCCUGGGUCCCAAGGACAGGCACUUUGAGCCUACUGCUGCCAACACUGGGGCCCAAGGACUUUCCCACCUGGUGUCCUGGUCCCAGGCAAAACUUUACUGCAGCCUGCAUGAACAACUGUACACUAAGCUACUAAAGAAGUCACAAACACCACUGAUGUUCUUUAUAGCCAAAGAAAUCAUAAGAAGACUCCACUACUGCACACAUCCAGAAUCAGAGCCAAGUGCCCUACCCCCAACCAACACCACAGGAAAAAGCCCUCCUCUACAAAAACAAAUUCAAAUAAUUGAAAGAAGUGACUGUAACACCAGAUACGCAGAUGUCAAUGUAAGGAAAGAAGAAACAUGAAAAAGCAAAGAAAUAUGAUGCCUCCGAAGAAACAUAAUGAUUUCCCAGCAACAGAUUUCAAUCCCAGAUAAAUCCCAGAUACAUAAUUCAAAAUGAUGAUAUUAAAGAAACUCAGUGAGAUACAAGAGAAUAACAGAAAAAUAAUACAAAGGAAUCAGAAAAACAAUUCAUAUUAUGAAUGAGAAAUUUAUCAAAGAGAUAGAUAUUAUAAAAAAUAACCAAACAGAAAUUCUAGAACUGAAGAAUUUAUUAAGUGAUAUAAAACACAUUCAAAAGAAGGGGCUUCAAGAACGCUGACUAGAAGCAUUUCAUGCUCACCUUCUCUACUUUAAAAAGAGCCAAAAUAAUGUAUAGACAAGCACACUUUAUUCAAGAGAGAACACCAGAAUUCAACAGAAAAGUGACAGGAAAUACCAAAAGUAAAGAAGCAUAAGAAAGAGUGGCAGCCUUAUUGGGCGGGAUCAGCUGGGAGUGACUUCUCAGUGCUGGGAAGGUGGAAAUGAGAGACUUCUAGCGGCCCACAUCCUCACUAUUGAACCAUGCAAUCCUGCCACAGGAGAUCCCCUCAACCUGCCACCCCAAGCCCUGAAACUAACACAGGGAGCUGCCUGGAGACGGUGGGAUGGAACCACUCCAAGGAGGCAGCUUCUGCUGAGACCCACACACUUUCCUAGACCUAAGCAGCUAUAGCAAGAUGCCUGUUUCUAACCCAGCCUUUGGAAGACUGCAUGCUCUCCUGGAUCCCGGCAACACUGGAACGGAAGCAUUAGGAAAACUUGGGCUGUUGUUACUGAGACUGGGACAUGAGCUGGGAGAGUGCUUUCAUAGCCAGGGUUGAGAAAUGAGUGAGGCAUGGGCUGUGGCUGCCAGUGCUGAAAAGUGAACACCACCAACACUGAGAUUAGUAUGCAGUGGGCAUGAGUCGCCACUUGGACUUAGUUGCGAGCUGGGCAGGGA
rnacentral:lncRNA from 1 species